rnacentral:lncRNA from 1 species
AAUGAGUUAUUUUAAAGAAUAAAAAUUAUUUUAGUAUCAAAUCCUUCUCUCAAGAAAUACUUAUUAGGUCCCUACUCUACCCAGGUAUUAUGCUAGGGCCUAAAGAUUUGAAGAUGAAAUUGUGUGUGAUCUUUGCCUCAGGGAGCUCCUGGUUUCCAGGGUGGAACACACACGCACAAGACCCAGGGAGUAAAAUCAAGGCGGCACAAGGAAGAGAGCAAUCCUGCUCAGCUGUGAUAACCAACGCUUCACCUCCACGAGGCUCCUAAGCCCUUGAGACAACCUGGGUCCGUGAUUCUCAUCACUGUCAGCCCAGCUGUGAAACCCCUCCUAAGACCUAAAGAGUGGAACCUCCAAAGCCUGGGGAUCUGCAACUUCAUAUCCCUUUCAUCACCUGGGAGAAGAACCCUCCUUCCUCUGGUGAGCAGCCUCCUUCCUGGUAUCCUCAGUAGAUGCAGGGUUGCAAUGGUUCCCAGGCUGCUCCUCCUGGGUAGCAAGUGUGGAUCUGGUUCCCAGCUUCCUUCUUAUUGUUAUGGGGGCCAGCAUACACAUGUGAUGCCCAUUUCCAAUGUGUUGUGGUUGUUUCUCACCAUUAGCAUAGCUGCU